UACGGAGGGAGCUAGCGUUGUUCGGAAUUACUGGGCGUAAAGGGCGCGUAGGCGGCCUGUUAAGUCGAACGUGAAAUCCCCGGGCUCAACCCGGGAACUGCGUCCGAUACUGGCAGGCUUGAAUCCGGGAGAGGGAUGUGGAAUUCCAGGUGUAGCGGUGAAAUGCGUAGAUAUCUGGAGGAACACCGGUGGCGAAGGCGGCAUCCUGGACCGGCAUUGACGCUGAGGCGCGAAAGCCAGGGGAGCAAACGGG
rnacentral:rRNA from 1 species